UACGAAGGGGGCUAGCGUUGUUCGGAUUUACUGGGCGUAAAGCGCACGUAGGCGGAUCGCUAAGUCGGGGGUGAAAUCCUGGAGCUCAACUCCAGAACUGCCUUCGAUACUGGCGAUCUCGAGUCCGGAAGAGGUGAGUGGAACUCCUAGUGUAGAGGUGGAAUUCGUAGAUAUUAGGAAGAACACCAGUGGCGAAGGCGGCUCACUGGUCCGGUACUGACGCUGAGGUGGCGAAAGCGUGGGGAGCAAACAGG
rnacentral:rRNA from 1 species